AUUGAACGCUGGCGGCAUGCCUAACACAUGCAAGUCGAACGGCAGCACAGCCCGCAAGGGUGGGUGGCGAGUGGCGGACGGGUGAGGAAUACAUGGGAAUCUACCCUGUCGUGGGGGAUAACGUAGGGAAACUUACGCUAAUACCGCAUACGACCUCCGGGUGAAAGCGGCGGACCGCAAGGCGUCGCGCGACUGGAAGAGCCCAUGUCGGAUUAGCUAGUUGGCGGGGUAAAGGCCCACCAAGGCGACGAUCCGUAGCUGGUCUGAGAGGAUGAUCAGCCACACUGGAACUGAGACACGGUCCAGACUCCUACGGGAGGCAGCAGUGGGGAAUAUUGGACAAUGGGCGCAAGCCUGAUCCAGCAAUGCCGCGUGGGUGAAGAAGGCCUUCGGGUUGUAAAGCCCUUUUGUACGGGAAGAAAUCCUGUCGGUUAAUACCCGGCGGGGAUGACGGUACCGUAAGAAUAAGCACCGGCUAACUUCGUGCCAGCAGCCGCAGUAA
rnacentral:rRNA from 1 species